UUGGAGGGCAAGUCUGGUGCCAGCAGCCGCGGUAAUUCCAGCUCCAAUAGCGUAUAUUAAAGUUGUUGCAGUUAAAAAGCUCGUAGUUGAAUUUCGGGAUUGACGUGAUGGUCAUGCCUUAAGGGGUAUGAACUGUCACUGUUGAUUUCUCACCUUCUGGAGAAACUUGAUGUCCUUUAUUGGGUGUCUUGCGGAUCCAGGACCUUUACCUUGAAAAAAUUAGAGUGUUUAAAGCAGGCAUUUUUGCUCGAAUACAUUAGCAUGGAAUAAUAGAAUAGGACGGCAUGGUUCUAUUUUGUUGGUUUCUAGGAUCACCGUAAUGAUUAAUAGGGAUAGUUGGGGGCAUUAGUAUUCAAUUGUCAGAGGUGAGAUUCUUGGAUUUAUUGAAGACUAACUACUGCGAAAGCAUUUGCCAAGGAUGUUUUCAUUAAUCAAGAACGAAAGUUAGGGGAUCGAAGACGAUCAGAUACCGUCGUAGUCUUAACCAUAAACUAUGCCGACUAGGAAUCAGACGAUGUUAAUUUUUUAAUGACUCGUUUGGCACCUUACGGGAAACCAAAGUGUUUGGGUUC
rnacentral:rRNA from 1 species